CUGCCCACCGCCCCCCCUCCGCGGUUCAAGUUUCUGCGGCCGGAGGACGCGGCCUCCGCCAAUCCCAGGGCUACAGGGCGCUUUUAAAAUGCAGGUGGGGACAGUGGAGAAGGGGCUACCCUGAUGCUGGAGAAGAGACAGACUUGAUGGUGAUGAGUCCUCGUGGUGUGGCGGUGGCUCCUACGUAUGGCUGGGACAGCCCUGUGGCCCCAGCACGCAUCGGCUCUGGGCUGGGGAAGCCAGAGGGCUUGCUGCUCCAGGGGUCCAGGACCAUGUGCUUGAGCCCCUCAGGCCCCCUUGGUUCCCUUGGAGCUGAGAGGCCCUGGGGAAGCCUGCCUAACAGGUUCCUGCUCCCCGCUUCCAGCCAGGAUUCCAGCUCCAUCUUCUUGUGCUCUGUCCUGCCCCUGGGACCAAGGGGAAAGAGGUAGAAAUCUGAAGACCUAAUUCCAGCCUCUGGGACACAGCCCACCCAGCUGCCCAGGUCUGAGCACAGAGACCGAGUCUGCAGCCUCAGGACGGGGAGUCCAGCACCAGUGUCAGCCCACAGCCGGCCCUGCAGGCUCCCCGUGAGAUGGGUGCUUGGCCUGGAGCCUGUCCACAGGGCUGGCUUGCUGGCACAUCACUGAGAAAGUCUAGGGCACUCAGAGGGAGACACCAGCACGAGCAAAGGGGAGGGCAGCGUGGAUUUUCAGGUGCCUGCAGAAAACGGGCUUCCCUGGUGGUCAGACGGUAAAGAGUCUGCCCGCGAUGCUGAAGCCCAGGCUUCCAUCCCUGGGUCGGGGAGAUCCCCUGGAGAAAGGAAUGGCUACCCACUCCAGAUUGUUGUCUGGAAAAUUCCAUGGACAGGGGAGCCUGGCUGGCUACAGUCCAUGGGGUCGCAAAGAGUUGGACAGGACUGAGUGACUGAGACUUUCACCCUUUCACGUCAGUCAAUAGGCAGCAUGAAGGCGAGGAGGUCCACACGGGGCCAGGAAUCUCGGGGAGCGUUGCGAAGGCAGAGGGGCAUCCCAGGGACCAGGAGAAGCCAAGGGCCGGGGGGCUAAGGGAUCCGAUGGAGGCCGGGCAGGCGGGCCGUGGCUGUGCGUGGGGCAGCAUCUUGCUCUCUGUCUUCUCUGAAUGAAAACAACACCCAAAAAAUGGC
ensembl:lncRNA